UGUGGGGUUAUUGUGUCAAAAAUACAUCCUCGUGUCUCAUGUAUAUAUUUGUCUAUGUACAUAUUUAUGUUUAUGUCUAUGUCGAUGUGCACACUGUCCAUGUUCAAUUUUAAACUAUUUGCUAGCUAGCGGGUGCUAACGUUAGCACCUCUAUCUCAGGCGAGAUGUGACGUUCAGAACACUACUGUAAGUACUGUUCGAACGGACCUAAAGGUUCCAUGGUUGCCAUGGUUGUUUAGAGGUGUCAUCGUUCAGAGCUGAUCAUCAUCCAAACACAAACAAACUCCAGACGAUCAGAAAAACGUUUGGCUUUCGAUUUGCACUGGACGAUUUCUUCGAGAAAGAAACUUCGAAAAACCUGAAGAGGACUUUUUCGUGGAAAAUUCAAAAGUGCCUAAAAAGGGAGAAACAGAAGGAAAAAAAAACAUUAAAAAGAAGAGAGGAGAGGAGGUGGGAGGACAAUAGGCUAUAACCCUCUCAUGUAAAAGUCUUUUCUCUUCUGUUUUUCUUUUAGAGAGAGGAGCGGAAGAGGUGGAGGCCAAUAUGAAGAGUGAACUGUCUCCGUCAUUUAAAAAAAAAACAUCAGUUUAUUUCAUAUUGUCUAAAUGAUGAAUAAUCCAUCGGUUAACAUUUAUUCUCUGAAACUUUACCUAAUAUUCCCCCUGUCUGCAUGUUUUAGAAAGAGGAGAAGACACAGUUGAAGAGAGAGAAAAGUCAGAGUGGAGGAGAGGAGAGGAGGGCAAAAUGACAUAUAAAGCCUCUCAUGUAAAAGAGAGAAGAAACUGUUAGACAUUAAAAGAUGAAAACGACUUUAAAAAGAAGAGAGGAGAAAAUUAAACUAGAAAAAAGGAGAGGAGAGGAGGUUGGAGGGCAUUAUGUCGGGUAAAACCUCUGACGUAAAAGAGAGAUGAUAAAAAAGAAGAGGAGAGAUGAGAGGAGGCGGGAGGGCGUGUAAACCCUGGUAAAGGUAAAUAACCAUUUAACUAUUACUCCCUUUUGACAGCCAUUUAUUUUUACAGAGAGGAGAACAAUAAGAGACAUGAAGAGAUGAGGAAAAAACAUUAAAAAGAAGAGAGGAGAGGAGGUGGAGGGCAUUAUAAAGAGUGAACAAUCACAUAUAAAAGCCAAGAAAACUCUGACCUGCCACCUCACAAACUACAAGUGAACCAUGUUUCUACAAAGAUUUUUGUCAUGAUCAAACUGUUCAAAAACAAGUGUUUGAAAUACAAAGUGACUACAAAAAGAAAUGUCUCAGUUUGGUUUCUAUGGUUUA